rnacentral:rRNA from 1 species
UGGGGAAUAUUGCACAAUGGGCGCAAGCCUGAUGCAGCGACGCCGCGUGAGGGAUGACGGCCUUCGGGUUGUAAACCUCUUUCAGCAGGGAAGAAGCGAAAGUGACGGUACCUGCAGAAGAAGCGCCGGCUAACUACGUG